rnacentral:rRNA from 1 species
AUUGAACGCUGGCGGCAGGCCUAACACAUGCAAGUCGAACGAGUGGCGGACGGGUGAGCAAUGUCUGGGAAACUGCCUGAUGGAGGGGGAUAACUACUGGAAACGGUAGCUAAUACCGCAUACCAUCAUAUGUGCUCAGAUGGGAUUAGCUAGUUGGUGGGGUAACGGCUCACCAAGGCGACGAUCCCUAGCUGGUCUGAGAGGAUGACCAGCCACACUGGAACUGAGACACGGUCCAGACUCCUACGGGAGGCAGCAGUGGGGAAUAUUGCACAAUGGGCGCAAGCCUGAUGGAGCCAUGCCGCGUGUAUGAAGAAGGUCUUCGGGUUGUAAAGUACUUUCAGCGGGGAAGCGUUACCCGCAGAAGAAGCACCGGCUAACUCCGUGCCAGCAGCCGCGGUAAUUC